AGUCAAAAGUUUCCUCUUGCAAGCUGAACUAUCGUUGAUAGUGUACACUUCUCCUGCAUAAGAUGGCACUCAGACCUACAAGAAAGAAUAAAACGUAUGCAGCAUUCAGGACUUCCAAUAGUUGGCCCAAUUCAACAUCCUGUUUUGAAAUAUUUCCAUGCAUGUGUCCAUUUCAUAUUUAAUGCCCCUUGCUAUCUGUAUCUGUUAAAAUAAGUGAAAAAUUUAGUGAGAGUUAAGGGAAACAGAAAAUUCGGCAAUAAUUAUGAUAUAGCUCAUUGCUAAACUUUGUACGAAGCAUUGCAUGUGCACAGAAAAACAUUGAUUCUAUCAUGCAGAUAUUGGUGAUUGAAAAGGGUAAUAGUUGCAACAGGCCAUCAGUUUCUAACACAGAAACUUUUUAAAAAAAUUUGUUGAUGCUUUAUGCAGCUUUGCGCCCCAAAGGCCAAACCAACAGAAUUUAGUCUUAAACAAUAAAAUUACUGUUUGCCUAGUUUCUUUCCAUUUCACGUAGUCUUCAAAACAAAAUUCUAUAAGAUAAUGAUGAGAAGAUCAAAGUAAUCUCAGUUAUAUUUAAAUAUAUAAUUUAUUUUCUUCGGUGUUCGGUCUAACAUCUCGCCACGUGGAAAUAAGCCAGACGACAACAAGCAAUCAUGCAUGAUUCGAUAGAGCAGUUCAAAAUUCCUCUACUAGGUGGCCAUAAAGAAUAAUUAUUGCGGAUUUUUCAAAAUGGUGUUAAUUAAUCGUUAUUUCAUAAUGACAAAAUCAGGCAACUUCAUUUAAGUUUAAAAUUUAGCCGUCAGCAAGUAAAAAUUCCCCCCAAAAUAAAUAAAAUACACACUUGUUUAUAAACUUGUUUAUUUACAAUUAACUAAGAAGAAGAGGGCUAUUUUCUGGGCAUUUCCACAGAUUCAGAAUUACUAGCAAAUACCAACGGC